rnacentral:rRNA from 1 species
AUUGAACGCUGGCGGCAGGCCUAACACAUGCAAGUCGAACGGUAGCACAGAGAGCUUGCUCUCGGGUGACGAGUGGCGGACGGGUGAGUAAUGUCUGGGAAACUGCCCGAUGGAGGGGGAUAACUACUGGAAACGGUAGCUAAUACCGCAUAACGUCGCAAGACCAAAGUGGGGGGCCUUCGGGCCUCACACCAUCGGAUGUGCCCAGAUGGGAUUAGCUAGUAGGUGGGGUAAUGGCUCACCUAGGCGACGAUCCCUAGCUGGUCUGAGAGGAUGACCAGCCACACUGGAACUGAGACACGGUCCAGACUCCUACGGGAGGCAGCAGUGGGGAAUAUUGCACAAUGGGCGCAAGCCUGAUGCAGCCAUGCCGCGUGUAUGAAGGAGGCCUUCGGGUUGUAAAGUACUUUCAGCGGGGAGGAAGGCGGUGAAGUUAAUAGCUUCACCGAUUGACGUUACCCGCAGAAGAUGCACCGGCUAACUCCGUGCCAGCCGCCGCUGUAAGAC